CGUAUUUCUCUCGCCGUCAAAUAAAAUAAGCAUCAAGGCGACGAAGUGACCCAAACCAACCAUAACAAUUCCAGGAGUUCAAAGGAGGGUUGGUGUUAAUGGACCUGAGAGCGUUGGAGAUUUACCUUUUCUGGCUCUGCUGGAUCCUGAUAGUCAGGUUGGAGGUUCAAACCAGCAGCCACAGGAAGACACUUGGCCCAGCAGCACUGAGACCCAUCAUAAGGUCACUUCUAUAAACGGAAUCUGAUUUAAACUUCGACCUCAGCUCUCUGUCAAACACUGGAGGACUGCUUGGACUUCAUUAGAGACCUGAAGUUCAGUCUGGAGAUCAACACUUAGCAGGAUAAAGAGCAUUAUUUAUUACUGUCAGGUUUAAUGUUCUCAUUUAUUUAAAUUGUACAUCUUGCUGGUCAAGGUCACCUUGAAUCUUUCAGUGAGGCUUCUGAAUGACCUCCAGUGGACAAAUUUAAUCUAGGACCUGGCGUCCACAUAUGUGGACAUCACAUUUUGGGUUAUUUUGA